rnacentral:tRNA from 1 species
GCCUCCGUAGCUCAGGGGAUAGAGCAACAGCCUUCUAAUCUGUUGGUCGCUGGUUCGAAUCCAGCCGGGGGCA